rnacentral:tRNA from 4 species
GGGUGAUUAGCUCAGCUGGGAGAGCACCUCCCUUACAAGGAGGGGGUCGGCGGUUCGAUCCCGUCAUCAACCACCA